rnacentral:rRNA from 1 species
AACUUAAAGGAAUUGACGGGGCCCGCACAAGCGGCGGAGCAUGUGGAUUAAUUCGAUGCAACGCGAAGAACCUUACCUGGGUUUGACAUACACCGGAAAACCGUAGAGAUACGGUCCCCCUUGUGGUCGGUGUACAGGUGGUGCAUGGCUGUCGUCAGCUCGUGUCGUGAGAUGUUGGGUUAAGUCCCGCAACGAGCGCAACCCUUGUCUUAUGUUGCCAGCACGUGAUGGUGGGGACUCGUAAGAGACUGCCGGGGUCAACUCGGAGGAAGGUGGGGACGACGUCAAGUCAGCAUGGCCCUUACGUCCGGGGCUACACACGUGCUACAAUGGCCGGUACAAAGGGUUGCGAAGCCGUGAGGUGGAGCGAAUCUCAAAAAGCCGGCCUCAGUUCGGAUUGGAGGCUGCAACUCGCCUCCAUGAAGUCGGAAUCGCUAGUAACCGCAGAUCAGCUACGUUGCGGUGAAUACGUUCCCGGGCCUU